rnacentral:rRNA from 1 species
UACGUAGGGGGCAAGCGUUGUCCGGAAUUAUUGGGCGUAAAGAGCUCGUAGGCGGUCUGUCGCGUCGAAUGUGAAAACCCGGGGCUCAACUCCGGGCUUGCAUUCGAUACGGGCAGACUAGAGUUCGGUAGGGGAGACGUGGAAUUCCUGGUGUAGCGGUGAAAUGCGCAGAUAUCAGGAGGAACACCGAUGGCGAAGGCAGUUCUCUGGGCCGUAACUGACGCUGAGGAGCGAAAGCGUGGGGAGCGAACAGG